UGGAGACUGCGGGGCUUGAGUGCGGCAGAGGCAGGGGGAAUUCCACGUGUAGCGGUGAAAUGCGUAGAUAUGCGGAGGAAUACCGGUGGCGAAGGCGCCUUCCUGGACUGUGACUGACGCUGAGGCACGAAAGCGUGGGGAGCAAACAGGAUUAGAUACCCUGGUAGUCCACGCCGUAAACGAUGACUGCUAGGUGUUGGGGGUUCAUCCCCUCAGUGCCGAAGGAAACCCAAUAAGCACUCCGCCUGGGGAGUACGGUCGCAAGACUGAAACUCAAAGGAAUUGACG
rnacentral:rRNA from 1 species